AUAUUUCCCCGGCAGGGGAGAUACCGUCAUCACGAAGGUGGUGUUCCCAGGGCGAGGCUUACCCACGGCACGACGGGUAAGCUGCUGACUUCUGCAGUUUACCCAGCGGUGGGAAACUCGACUGCAUCGUUUGUGGUGGGGGACCGUGUUCACACUUCAAAA
rfam:Felis catus isolate Cinnamon breed Abyssinian chromosome C1, whole genome shotgun sequence.